rnacentral:antisense_RNA from 1 species
AAAGCUCAUUGACUCUUUUCAAGCAUGGUGAUGAGGUCGUGGGAAGAAGAGCUAAGACGGAGUUUCGCUGUGUCAUCCAGGAUGGAGUGCGGUGGUGCUUUCUCAGCUUACUGCAACCUCUGCCUCCCAGUUCAAGCAAUUCUUCUGACUCAGCCUCCUGAGUAGCUGGGAUUACAGGCACCUGCUACCACACCAUGCUAAUUUUUGUAUUUUUAGUAGAGACGGGGUUUCGCCAUGUUGGCCUGGCUGGUCUCGAACUCCUGACUUCAGGUGAUCCACCUGCCUCGGCCUCCCAAAGUGCUGGGAUUACAGGUGUGAGCCACCACACCCGGCCAACUUAUCCUUUUUUUAACAUCUAGUUUUCUGUGAGUGUUUUCUAAUGUGCACUAUAGAUGGACAUAGUGGUAUGUGAUUACUAUUUAUAGGUAAAUAAUAAUGUGUUUAUUAUUGUGUAAUAAACAUUGUGUGAUAAAGAA